rnacentral:rRNA from 1 species
CCUGGCUCACGACUAACGCUGGCGGCGCGCCUAACACAUGCAAGUCGAACGAGUGAGAGAGAGCUUGCUUUCUCGAGCGAGUGGCGAACGGGUGAGUAACGCGUGAGGAACCUGCCUCAAAGAGGGGGACAACAGUUGGAAACGACUGCUAAUACCGCAUAAGCCCACGGUGCCGCAUGGCACAGAGGGAAAAGGAGCAAUCCGCUUUGAGAUGGCCUCGCGUCCGAUUAGCUAGUUGGUGAGGUAACGGCCCACCAAGGCAACGAUCGGUAGCCGGACUGAGAGGUUGAACGGCCACAUUGGGACUGAGACACGGCCCAGACUCCUACGGGAGGCAGCAGUGGGGAAUAUUGCACAAUGGGGGAAACCCUGAUGCAGCGACGCCGCGUGGAGGAAGAAGGUCUUCGGAUUGUAAACUCCUGUUGUUGGGGAAGAUAAUGACGGUACCCAACAAGGAAGUGACGGCUAACUACGUGCCAGCAGCCGCGGUAAAACGUAGGUCACAAGCGUUGUCCGGAAUUACUGGGUGUAAAGGGAGCGCAGGCGGGAAGACAAGUUGGAAGUGAAAUCUAUGGGCUCAACCCAUAAACUGCUUUCAAAACUGUUUUUCUUGAGUAGUGCAGAGGUAGGCGGAAUUCCCGGUGUAGCGGUGGAAUGCGUAGAUAUCGGGAGGAACACCAGUGGCGAAGGCGGCCUACUGGGCACCAACUGACGCUGAGGCUCGAAAGUGUGGGUAGCAAACAGGAUUAGAUACCCUGGUAGUCCACACCGUAAACGAUGAUUACUAGGUGUUGGAGGAUUGACCCCUUCAGUGCCGCAGUUAACACAAUAAGUAAUCCACCUGGGGAGUACGACCGCAAGGUUGAAACUCAAAGGAAUUGACGGGGGCCCGCACAAGCAGUGGAGUAUGUGGUUUAAUUCGACGCAACGCGAAGAACCUUACCAAGUCUUGACAUCCCUUGACAGGCAUAGAAAUAUGUUUUCUCUUCGGAGCAAGGAGACAGGUGGUGCAUGGUUGUCGUCAGCUCGUGUCGUGAGAUGUUGGGUUAAGUCCCGCAACGAGCGCAACCCUUAUGGUCAGUUACUACGCAAGAGGACUCUGGCCAGACUGCCGUUGACAAAACGGAGGAAGGUGGGGAUGACGUCAAAUCAUCAUGCCCUUUAUGACUUGGGCUACACACGUACUACAAUGGCGUUAAACAAAGAGAAGCAAGACCGCGAGGUGGAGCAAAACUCAGAAACAACGUCCCAGUUCGGACUGCAGGCUGCAACUCGCCUGCACGAAGUCGGAAUUGCUAGUAAUCGUGGAUCAGCAUGCCACGGUGAAUACGUUCCCGGGCCUUGCACACACCGCCCG